GGUCAAGUGAGGUAAGGGCAUAUGGUGGAUGCCUGGGCACUUGGAGCCGAAGAAGGACGCGGCAAGCGGCGAAACGCUCCGGGGAGCCGCAAGCGGGCGAAGAUCCGGAGGUCUCCGAAUGGGGGAACCCACUCGAGGUAAUACUCGAGUAUCCACUGAUGAACACAUAGUCAGUGGAGGGGAACCGCGCGAACUGAAACAUCUAAGUAGCGCGAGGAAAAGAAAGAAAAGAAUCGAUUCCCUAAGUAGCGGCGAGCGAAAGGGGAGGAGCCCAAACCCGGCACUCAAGUGGACAUGGAAUUAUAGGCAAAAAAGAUGAUAUAAUACGUGUCCACUUGAGUGCCGGGGGUUAGGGCCCACCGUAGAAGUGAGUGAGUACUCUAGGCGAACGGACCUGGAAAGGCCGGCCGGAGAAGGUGAAAGCCCUGUAGUCGAAAGGGGAAAGCUUGCUGGUGGGUACCAGAGUACCACGGGAUAGGCGACCCUGUGGGAAGGCGGGAGGACCACCUCCUAAGGCUAAAUACUCCCAAGUGACCGAUAGCGGAUAGUACCGUGAGGGAAAGGUGAAAAGAACCCCGGGAGGGGAGUGAAAGAGAACCUGAAACCAUAUGCCUACAAGCAGUCAGAGUCCGGCACUCAACCUAGUGUUUACUGGGUGAAUAGAGUAAGAGGGAUAGAAAGAGGUAGAAGUAGUUAAGAGAAGAGUAAGCACUAAGUUGAGUGCCGGAUGAUGGCGUACUUUUUGUAGAACGGGCCGGCGAGUUACGGUAGCAAGCGAGGUUAAGCGAAAAGCGGAGCCGAAGCGAAAGCGAGUCCGAAGAGGGCGGGAGUUUGCUGCCGUAGACCCGAAACCGUGCGACCUACCCAUGGCCAGGGUGAAGCCGGAGUAAGAUCUGGUGGAGGCCCGAACCACGUUGGCGUUGAAAAGCCAUGGGAUGAGCUGUGGGUAGAGGUGAAAUGCCAAUCGAGCACGGAGAUAGCUGGUUCUCCCCGAAAUAGCUUUAGGGCUAGCCUCAGGGUAGAACCUAUGGAGGUAGAGCACUGAAUGGGCUAGGGGCCAAGUAGGUUACCGAACCCUAUCAAACUCCGAAUGCCAUAGGGAGGAACCUGGGAGUCAGACUACGAGUGAUAAGAUCCGUAGUCGAGAGGGGAACAGCCCAGACCUCCAGCUAAGGUCCCGAAGGGCAUGUUAAGUGGUAAAGGAAGUGGGACUUCGGAGACAACCAGGAUGUUGGCUUAGAAGCAGCCAUACAUUUAAAGAGUGCGUAACAGCUCACUGGUCGAGAGGUCCUGCGCCGAAAAUGAACGGGGCUCAAACAUGCCACCGAAGCUGGGGCUAAACAGAAGUCAGAUGUGAGAGGUCAGAGGUGAGAAAAUGAUAAAGACGUAUAAGGAUCUCAGAAUAUAUCAACAAUCAUACAAGCUAAGCAUAGAGAUACACAAGCUAACCCAGAACUAUCCUGGGUAUGAAAGAUACGAAUUAGGGAGUCAACUAAGAAGGGCAGCAACAUCAAUACCGUUAAAUAUAGCCGAAGGAUAUGGAAAGAAAGAAUCAGAGGCAGAUUUUAAGAGGUAUUUAAAGAUAGCGCUUGGAUCAAGCAAUGAAAUAGAAGUAUUACUAGACUUAAGUUAUGACUUAGGAUAUAUAGAUAAGACAUUGCAUAACGAACUAAUAGAAGAAUACACAGCUUUAAGGAAGCAAAUAUACACGAUGAUAAAGAAGUGGAGAGUAUCCGACAUCUGACUUCCGACAUCUGACUUCUGUUUGGGGUAGGGGAGCGUACUGUACGGGUAGAAGGCAAAGCGUAAGCUAAGCUGGACUGUACAGUAGAGAGAAUGCCGGCAUGAGUAACGAGAGUAAGGUGAGAAACCUUACCGCCGGAAGCCUGAGGUUUCCUGGGGAAGGGUAAUCCACCCAGGGUAAGUCGGGGCCUAAGCCGAGGCGAGAGCGUAGGCGAUGGGGAACCGGUAGAGAAUCCGGUACCACCGAGGGCCGGUAAGAGAAGUGGGGACGCAGCGAGAUAGGUGGAGCGUGCGGUUGGUAGGGCACGUCCAAUCAGGCACCGAAGGGUACGUAGGCAAAUCCGCGUACAGGCAGGGGUCUGAGAAGGGGAGCCGGAAGGCGAAGCCACCGAAGCAGCUGCCGAGAAAAGCCGCUAUCGAGGUCCAAGGUGCCCGUACUGCAAACCGACACAGGUAGGCGAGGAGAGGAUCCACAGGCGAGCGGGAGAACCCUCAUUAAGGAACUCGGCAAAAUGACUCCGUAACUUCGGGAGAAGGAGUGCCGAAAGGCCGCAGAGAAGAGACCCAAGCGACUGUUUACCAAAAACACAGGUCUCUGCUAAGUCGGAAGACGAAGUAUAGGGGCUGACGCCUGCCCGGUGCUGGAAGGUUAAGGGGAAGUGUGAGAGCACUGAACCGAAGCCCCAGUGAACGGCGGCCGUAACUAUAACGGUCCUAAGGUAGCGAAAUUCCUUGUCGGGUAAGUUCCGACCCGCACGAAAGGCGUAACGACUUGGGCGCUGUCUUGAUGAGGGGCCCGGUGAAAUUGUAGUACUCGUGAAGAUGCGAGUUACCCGCGAUUGGACAGAAAGACCCCGUGGAGCUUUACUGUAGCCUGUCACUGGAUUUUGGUAAUUCUUGUACAGGAUAGGUGGGAGACGGAGAAGGUAGGGCGCCAGCCUUACUGGAGUCGGCGUUGGGAUACCACCCUGGGAUUACCGGAAUUCUAACCUAUAGCCGUGGAACCGGCGUAGGGACAAUGGCAGGUGGGCAGUUUGACUGGGGCGGUCGCCUCCUAAAGGGUAACGGAGGCGCCCAAAGGUUACCUCAGCGCGGACGGGAAUCGCGCGAGAGAGUGCAAAGGCAGAAGGUAGCCUGACUGCGAGAGAGACAUCUCGAGCAGGGACGAAAGUCGGGCUUAGUGAUCCGGCGGCAGUGAGUGGGAACGCCGUCGCUCAACGGAUAAAAGCUACCCCGGGGAUAACAGGCUGAUCUCCCCCAAGAGUCCACAUCGACGGGGAGGUUUGGCACCUCGAUGUCGGCUCAUCGCAUCCUGGGGCUGAAGUAGGUCCCAAGGGUUGGGCUGUUCGCCCAUUAAAGCGGUACGCGAGCUGGGUUCAGAACGUCGUGAGACAGUUCGGUCCCUAUCCGUCGCGGGCGAAGGAAACUUGAGAGGCACUGCCCCUAGUACGAGAGGACCGGGGUGGACGAACCGAUGGUGUACCAGUUGCACCGCCAGGUGCACAGCUGGGUAGCCAAGUUCGGAGGGGAUAAACGCUGAAAGCAUCUAAGCGUGAAGCCCGCCUCAAGAUUAGGUUUCCCACCCGGCACUCAACUAUACUUACUGGAGGAAGGCAAGAUGUAUUAUGUGUAUGUCCUGGCAAAUGAAAAAGGAAAGAUAUAUAUAGGCUAUACGUCUAAUAUAAAGGAAAGGUAUUUAGCGCAUCAACGAAAAGAAGUAAAGAGUACAAGAGAAGGAAAAUGGAGAUUAGUAUACUAUGAAGCAUAUAGAGAUAAAAAAGAUGCGUUGAUAAGGGAGAAACAUUUAAAAAAGUCAGGACAAGGGCGUAGAUGGCUAAAAGAGAGGAUAAAGAAUAGUCUUUCCACUAGUGAGUAGAGUUGAGUGCCGGGGUAAGACACCUCGAAGACCACGAGGUAGAUAGGCCGGGGGUGUAAGAGUGGAAACACUCUUAGCUGACCGGUACUAAUCAGUCGAGGACUUGACCGA
rfam:Thermoanaerobacter pseudethanolicus ATCC 33223, complete genome.